GACGAACGCUGGCGGCGUGCUUAACACAUGCAAGUCGAGCGGUAAGGCCCUUUCGGGGGUACACGAGCGGCGAACGGGUGAGUAACACGUGGGUGACCUGCCCUCAGCUCUGGGAUAAGCCUGGGAAACUGGGUCUAAUACUGGAUAUGACUCUACGGUGCAUGUCGUGGGGUGGAAAGCCUUGUGCGGCUGAGGAUGGGCCCGCGGCCUAUCAGCUUGUUGGUGGGGUGAUGGCCUACCAAGGCGACGACGGGUAGCCGGCCUGAGAGGGCGACCGGCCACACUGGGACUGAGACACGGCCCAGACUCCUACGGGAGGCAGCAGUGGGGAAUCUUGCGCAAUGGGCGAAAGCCUGACGCAGCGACGCCGCGUGAGGGAUGACGG
rnacentral:rRNA from 1 species